rnacentral:ncRNA from 1 species
AAGAGCCGUAUGCGGGAAAACCGCACAUACGGUUCUGCGAGGGGCGGGCGGCGUAACAGCGCUGCUCCGUCUACUCGAC